GACGAAUGCUGGCGGCGUGCUUAACACAUGCAAGUCGAACGCUGAAGCUCAGCUUGCUGGGUGGAUGAGUGGCGAACGGGUGAGUAACACGUGAGUAACCUGCCCCCUUCUUUGGGAUAACGCCCGGAAACGGGUGCUAAUACUGGAUAUUCACUGAUCUUCGCAUGGGGGUUGGUGGAAAGUUUUUUUCUGGUGGGGGAUGGGCUCGCGGCCUAUCAGCUUGUUGGUGGGGUGAUGGCCUACCAAGGCUUUGACGGGUAGCCGGACUGAGAGGUUGACCGGGAACAUUGGGACUGAGAUACGGCCCAGAGUAGUACGGGAGGCAGAAGUGGGGAAUAUUGCACAAUGGGCGAAAGACUGAUGCCGCGAGGCCGAGUGAGGGAUUGAGGCCUUCGGGUUGUAAACCUCUUUCGCUAAUGGUCAAGCCGCAACAUUGGUUGUGGUGAGGGUAGUGGGUAAAGAAGCGCCGGCUAACUACGUG
rnacentral:rRNA from 1 species